rnacentral:rRNA from 1 species
UACGGAGGGUGCAAGCGUUAUCCGGAUUUACUGGGUUUAAAGGGUGCGCAGGCGGAUAUGUAAGUCAGUGGUGAAAUCUCCGGGCUUAACCCGGAAACUGCCGUUGAUACUAUAUAUCUUGAAUGCUGUGGAGGUAAGCAGAAUAUGUCAUGUAGCGGUGAAAUGCUUAGAGAUGACAUAGAAUACCUAUUGCGAAGGCAACUUACUACGCAGAUAUUGACGCUCAUGCACGAAAGCGUGGGGAUCAAACAGG